UACGUAGGGGGCAAGCGUUGUCCGGAAUGAUUGGGCGUAAAGGGCGCGUAGGCGGCUUUAUAAGUCUGGAGUGAAAGUCCUCUUUUCAAGGGAGGAAUUGCUUUGGAAACUAUAAAGCUUGAGUGCAGGAGAGGUUAUCGGAAUUCCCGGUGUAGCGGUGAAAUGCGUAGAUAUCGGGAGGAACAUCGGUGGCGAAGGCGGGUAACUGGACUGCAACUGACGCUGAGGCGCGAAAGUGUGGGGAGCAAACAGG
rnacentral:rRNA from 1 species